AAAAAUCAAGGGCCAUCCCGUCGCGGAUCGCAGCGCGACCUAAAAGACGCGUUUUCUGUCUCCUCCUCGUCUCUGGUUGCUAUAUUUUGACUUUCGUCUCUCGACUGGACAUCUGUCGCUUUCCCUCCAUAUCCUUCUACAAGCACUGAUCGCCUUCUCUUAGGGUUUCCUCUCCACUUCCGGUAAGCCAUAUCACGUAUGAGAGGUCGAUACUCAUCGCUCAAUCCUCUCGAUUCUUAGGGUUUUUUUUCCUUUCCCUUUUUGCUUCAUCGUCCCGCGCUUCAAUUUUUAGAGUUUCUUCUUGAAUAUUGUUUAAAUCUUUAAAUUAUUCAAGUGGCAACAGGAGGAUCGAGAGUCUUAGAUCAAUUUAGUUAAUUGGUCUGCUGCUUGAUUGCUAUUGCUUUUAGAUAUUGUUUAGAGAUUCUUUUUGUGAAAAUUGAAAAAAAAAAAAGAGUGGUGAAGUGAUUGCUUCUGUGAUACGGCUAGGGUUUUAUAGGUGAAUUGGUUGGAAUUGGUGUUGGGGGUUUUUUACUUCGUUGAGGUUUUAGUUCACUGAAUUUAUGGCGGCUGGGAGACAUGGGGGUUUUCGUGAUAACGAGUUCAGGGGCCGCGAGUCUGGUAUUGAGGUGUCGAGAAGGGAAUCUGCUUAUUCCAAGGAGGAGUAUGGUCGGAGCAGGAAUGGUGGUAAUUCUUUUAAUGAUAGAAGGGUUCAAGCUUGCGCGGUAAGAGAUAAGGGAAGGGUUAGACAGAAAGACCUCAAGGAGAGGGAUGUGGUUAACGGUGGAUACAGGUCCUCUUCAAGUAGGAGUGAUUCAGGCAGCGGUGGUGGUGGACAUGAGCCCCAGCAAUGUGGUUUUUCAGUUAGAGCUGUUGAUAGGGAGCCUGGUGAAUUGUCAAGUGAGAGUGGUUCUGAUGAUGCCAUUGAAUCUGAAUCACUGAUUAAAGAUAUUGAGGCUUUCGAGACUGUUGUGAAUGGGAUUCGUGCUUCACCUUUGGUGAAAAAGAGGAAGUUUUCACCUAUAGUUUGGGAUAGAGAUGACAGGGAAGUAAGUAAUUCAUCAACAAGUGGAAUUAACACAACUGUGUCAGCUCUUCCUCUACCACCACCACUCCCCAAGGUGUAUCGUCAAUCGCCUAAUGUUGUUCCUGGUGGGGGCAUACAAAUAUCUCCAAUUGAGGAUAGUGAAACCAAUGAUUUGCAAUUGUCUUCACCAGUUGAUCCUUCUGUGGCUUUUAGCGGUGCCCAAGAUUCUCUUUCUGGAUCCCCUUCGGGUCUGUCCUCUUCUCCAAUAAAGGAGCAACAGUGGGAAGUAUAUCAGGAAGCAGAACAGCUUGAAGAUGAUGAUUAUGUGCCAACCCGGAAUAUUUCAUCUUCUAGAUGGGCAGCUGAAAACAAUUCUCCUAUGGAUGAAGGUGAAAUUGUAGAAGAGCAAAUGCCUAAAAGGAAGAAGAAAAUGAUGCAUAUAGAGCCCUUGGAUGCUGAAGUACGGAGUAAAUCUAUAACUCCCGAGGCAGGAGAGCCAAAGAGAGAAGGCUCUGGAGAAGCUCGGGCAAGAUCAUCUGAAUCUGAUGAACGAGGUGUGCAUAUUAGGUCUUUGAGUGGGGAUGAUUGCACUGGUACUGAUUUUGAGAAGGAUUACAUGGACAUUGAUGAGGAACGCAACAAUACUAGUCUUAGCCAUUCAGGUACGGAUACUGAGGAAGAAACUGAUUCUCAUGCAAAUCCAGAGCCCCCGUCUCCUCCCCAAAGAAGUAUAAACAUGAUUCAGGGCUGUAGAAUUGUGGACGAGUUUGAAAGACUAAAUAAGAUAGAUGAAGGAACAUAUGGUGUUGUAUAUAGAGCGAAAGAUAAGAAGACAGGAGAAAUUGUAGCAUUGAAAAAGGUGAAGAUGGAGAAAGAAAGAGAAGGUUUUCCAUUAACUUCUUUGAGGGAAAUAAACAUUCUCCUUUCCUUUCAUCACCCAUCAAUUGUGGAUGUUAAAGAAGUUGUUGUAGGGAGUAGCCUAGAUAGUAUUUUUAUGGUGAUGGAAUAUAUGGAACAUGAUCUGAAAGGACUCAUGGAGUCAAUGAAGCAGCCCUUUAGCCAGAGUGAGGUUAAAUGCCUUAUGCUUCAGCUCUUGGAGGGUGUGAAAUAUCUCCAUGAUAACUGGGUUCUUCAUCGUGAUAUGAAGACGUCUAACCUGCUUUUAAACAAUCGAGGUGAGUUGAAGAUUUGUGAUUUUGGGUUGUCUCGUCAGUAUGGGAGUCCAUUGAAACCUUACACACAUCUUGUGGUUACUCUUUGGUACAGGGCGCCCGAACUCUUGCUGGGAGCAAAACAAUAUUCAACGGCAAUUGACAUGUGGUCACUUGGUUGUAUUAUGGCUGAAUUAUUAGCUAAGGAACCACUGUUCAAUGGGAAAACAGAAUUUGAUCAACUUGAUAAGAUUUUUCGAACCCUUGGGGCACCAAAUGAAACAAUUUGGCCUGGGUUUUCAAAGCUGCCAGGAGUGAAGGUCAAUUUCGUCAAACACCAGUAUAAUAUGCUGCGUAAGAAAUUUCCAGCAACCUCUUUCACUGGAUCCCCAGUUUUGUCUGACGCAGGAUUUGACUUGUUGAGCAAACUUUUAACUUAUGAUCCUGAGAAGCGGAUAACUGCCGAAGCUGCUCUUGACCAUGAGUGGUUUAAAGAAGUUCCUCUCCCAAAGUCUAAAGAUUUUAUGCCUACAUUUCCCGCUCAACAUGCUCAAGAAAGGCGUCUACGGAGAAUAAUGAAGAGUCCUGAUCCUCUGGAAGAGCAACGGAAAAAGGAGUUGCAGCAAGGGGAUUUUGGGGCCAGUGGUUUGUUUGGCUAAGCUUUACUGGCAGUGAUUUUUCCUCCAUGCUUUAGUUUUGACUGUUUGUGAUAAAUGGACAUGGUUGAGGUGAGAGGCAUGCAUGGAGAUGAAAUUCACAGUAUUCUUUUUCAGACGAUCAUUCAUACUGUUUUUUAGCAGGACAAGUGAAUGAAGUGAUGAUCUGGGUGGAGAAUCUAUUUGCGUCAUCCUAUCAAACCAGUGCAGGUUAACUUUGUUGAGCUUAGAAAAUCAUCUGCGGCACUGCUUGCAUUGCAAGGUGUGGCAUAAUGCCCUUUCUUUUAAAAUGGCUGGAACUUGGAUAUGUAACAUAUUUUGGUUCUGACAUUGUAAACAAUUUUUUAAAAUUCUGUUUAAAUAGUAGAACCUUGUGGACUUUCUGUCCAUAUCAGUUCUGUAUUUUUUUUUUAAUGUUCACAUUGUGUUUGCAAGAGACCUUUGGUGUGAAGUGGAGAAGACGUUCAUAGCUUUUCACUGACGAAGAAUUUGACAGUAACCAAUGUACUUCCGAGCAUCAAAGCAAGCAGGUUGAGGCGGCUCCCUGCAUACUGUGGAUUUUAUAGAACUUCCAAUUAGGUGUUAUCCAGGCUCGCUAGAGGUUUCGUUCAUCUACAAAACCCCAAGCAUCUUUGUAGAUGAAACGCUUCAACCCCUCACCACUACAGUUAAAACUGGUGGAGGUGAUUAAUUGAGCUUGUUCAGUUCUUUUCGCAGUCUAGUUUUGGUAAUUUACUAAUUUUAGACUUUCUUUUAUGAAAUGAAAUGAAAUGAUACUCAUUUGA